rnacentral:rRNA from 1 species
AACUUUCAGCAAUGGAUCUCUUGGUUCUCGCAUCGAUGAAGAACGCAGUGAAAUGCGAUAACUGGUGUGAAUUGCAUCUAUGUAACUCUAAUUUACGAAUAACACCAAGUGAAUCAUCGAGUCUUUGAACGCA